GCCAGUGUGGUAAAGUGCUUUGAGCGUUGGACUAUGACUCUGGAGACCAGGGUUCAAAUCCCAGCUUGGCCA